rnacentral:rRNA from 1 species
UACGGAGGGAGCUAGCGUUGUUCGGAAUUACUGGGCGUAAAGCGCGCGUAGGCGGCUUUGCAAGUUAGAGGUGAAAGCCCGGAGCUCAACUCCGGAACUGCCUUUAAAACUGCAUAGCUUGAAUCCGGGAGAGGUGAGUGGAAUUCCGAGUGUAGAGGUGAAAUUCGUAGAUAUUCGGAAGAACACCAGUGGCGAAGGCGACUUACUGGACACGUAUUGACGCUGAGGUGCGAAAGCGUGGGGAGCAAACAGG